GACGAACCGUCCAAACGUUGUUCGGAAUCACUGGGCUUAAAGGGCGCGUAGGCGGGUCUCCAAGUCGGUGGUGAAAUCUUUCGGCUCAACCGGAAAACAGCCGCCGAUACUGGGGGUCUCGAGGGAGGUAGGGGUCGAUGGAACUUCCGGUGGAGCGGUGAAAUGCGUAGAUAUCGGGAAGAACACCCGUGGCUAAGGCGGCUCUCUAGUACGGUACUGACGCUGAGACGCGAAAGCGUGGGGAGCGAACAGG
rnacentral:rRNA from 1 species